GCCCGACUAGCUCAUCGGUAGAGCGCCUCACUAGUAUCUUCCUUCCUAAAGGAUAAUACUUCGAAAUGAGGAGGCAACAGGUUCGAUUCCUGUGUUGGGCA
rnacentral:tRNA from 1 species